rnacentral:rRNA from 1 species
AACGCGAAGAACCUUACCCAGACUUGACAUACAGUGGAAGUUGUGAGAAAUUACAACGCUCUUCGGAGCCGCUGAACAGGUGCUGCAUGGCUGUCGUCAGCUCGUGCCGUGAGGUGUUGGGUUAAGUCCCGCAACGAGCGCAACCCUUAUCGUUAGUUGCCAACAGGUAAUGCUGGGAACUCUAGCGAGACUGCCUGGGUUAACCAGGAGGAAGGUGAGGAUGACGUCAAGUCCGCAUGGCCCUUAUGUCUGGGGCUACACACGUGCUACAAUGGCCGGUACAGAAGGCAGCGAAACCGCGAGGUGAAGCAAAUCCCAAAAGCCGGCCCCAGUUCAGAUUGUAGUCUGCAACUCGACUACAUGAAGAUGGAAUUGCUAGUAAUGGCGAGUCAGCAACAUCGCCGUGAAUACGUUCCCGGGCCUUGUACACACCGCAUAC